GAAACCCAGUGGUGUAACCCUUCAUGGUUUGACUAAAUGGGUGCCUCGACCUGGACCAAUUGACCGUGAGGUCGGCAGGGUAGCCUGCUGGUUAGAGCGUUGGACUAGUAACUGAAAGGUUGCAAGUUCAAAUCCCUGAGCUGACAAGGUGCAGUUCUCCCUGAUCGACCAGCGGCCCGCUGCCUAGAUGGAGGCUGUCUGUCUCACGGCAUCCAGCUACUGACCUAUGGAACUCUGGCCGGUGGUCUACUCUCAGAGCGCUAUCUAGGGAAGGCAGAGCCUACAAGCAGGGCAGAGCUCAACACCGCCUCCCU
rnacentral:lncRNA from 1 species